rnacentral:rRNA from 1 species
UGGGGAAUCUUGCGCAAUGGGCGAAAGCCUGACGCAGCCAUGCCGCGUGAAUGAUGAAGGUCUUAGGAUUGUAAAAUUCUUUCACCGGGGACGAUAAUGACGGUACCCGGAGAAGAAGCCCCGGCUAACUUCGUGCCAGCAGCCGCGGUAAUACGAAGGGGGCUAGCGUUGCUCGGAAUUACUGGGCGUAAAGGGAGCGUAGGCGGACAUUUAAGUCAGGGGUGAAAUCCCGGGGCUCAACCUCGGAAUUGCCUUUGAUACUGGGUGUCUUGAGUAUGAGAGAGGUGUGUGGAACUCCGAGUGUAGAGGUGAAAUUCGUAGAUAUUCGGAAGAACACCAGUGGCGAAGGCGACACACUGGCUCAUUACUGACGCUGAGGCUCGAAAGCGUGGGGAGCAAACAGGAUUAGAUACCCUGGUA